AAAAAAACUUAAACUUAAAACUUCUCUUUCCUUCUUCUCCCUCUCUUCACCGAAGCUCUCUCUCUCACUAUGCGUUGCCUCUGCCAAGCCCGACCACUCGUUGUCCCAUUGCCGGAGCCGUACACGCACCAGCCCAGUCGAGCCGCUGACCCUCGAAACGUCUACCCUCGCGAGCUCACCACGGUACGCGCCGCCCAGGGCUGUCAACCAACCGUCCGAAGCCGUCCGCCUCCUGCAUUUUCCGGCAAGAUUCCGACUACCCCGAGCCUCCCCGAGCCUAACCACCAUCACCACCAUACUCCUCGUGAUCUAAGCUUCAAAACCCACCAUACUUUCUUUUAUUUUUGAAAUGCCUCUGGUAAUGCAAGAAAAAUAAACACAAAUCCUUUCUACAAAUUAAAAGAUGUGGGUUGUAUUCAUCAGAAGCUCUUGGGAGAAGCUACUACCAUCUCUCCAGGUACACAGUUGUUCAUCCAUUUCUUUCAUUUGUUUAUGAUAUAUUUGCUUUAAUGCUUUCCUCACUAUUUUUAUCACCAAACAUUCAAGCAAAAAACAAAAAAAAACUAAGCUUAGCUCUGUUUUCUUAUUUAUGGCUUGGAGGAAAAUCUAAAUGUAAGAUGAAGGAAUCAAACACUAUAAAGACACUAUAGUUUCUAUGUGGUUUGUUAAGUCUGUAGUGCAAUGGAAUUCAAAACCAAAAGAGCUAGUCUGAGAUGAUUUGUUAAGUCCGUGAUUGAAAGUGUUAAUUAAUUCAAUUCAACCAAAGUUUGUCAACUAGUAUGUCCAACAUUUCAAGAAAUUUUAUUGCAAAAUAUAUUUUCAGACUAGAAAAUAUAUAAAGAAAUAACACUCCCUAGCAAUUGUGUUGAUGUGCUUAAGAUUGAUUCUCAUAUAUACUACCAUGAUGAAAUAUUAAAACUAGUAUUUCCUUCUUGAAUGUCAUGGUUACCAUUUUUUGAAAUUAUCGAGAAGUUGCCAAAUAUAUAUACGCAUAUUAUUAUGCAAAAUCAAGAGGAAAUGAUUAUAUUUCACAAAUAUCUAUAGUAACAGAAUCACAGCUUACCAAAAUACUUGACUUGUUUCAAAAUCAGAAACAAUUUGAUGCUCAUCAUUAUUUUUCCGUUCAUUGGUAAUUAGCCAGUAAACUUGUUCUAAAUCUUAUUCAAGUAAUUGCUAUUAUGAAUCAUCUAUGUUUUGUGGUUUGUUAUCAUUGCAUUUUAAAGUCUCUUCUCUUUGCUGUAUAUUAUUUCUUUUAGUGAGAAUCUGGUAUGGUGUAGCCUGCUGUAGGGCUAUUCUUUUUGUCUAUUUGAGAUGAAAUGGAAAUGAGGUUUGAUAGUUUGGUGAGCACUUCAAACCGUUCAAUCCGACUUGAAUAGGUUUGUUAACCAUAUCUCUUUAAAAGCAUAGUGUUGCUUGCUUGAUUUGAGGAGCAAAACACUUGAUCUCAAGCUUCUCUUCAUUCAAGGGUUCACUUAGAAUUUAUCUGCCUAAGACAACUUUCUUACCAGUCAAAUUUGGAACUUUCUUCCUCUCUCAUUUGAUUUAAUAUUCAUUUCAAUGUAUAUAACAUGUACCCAUUUACCAAGCAUUUUUUCUUAUAAUUUUGAAUAUUUUAGUACUAGUAUACUCAUGAGGAAAUAAUUAUUGAUUUUUGUUUGUUUGUAUAUAACAUAUAGAUCGUUGGUUGUGAUUCUUUUACAUGCACAUAAAUAUUACAAAGAUUGUAGGUAUAAAUAUAUGUGUAUAUAUAUAUAUAUUAGUUUUCUGUCAAAAGUGUAAUCCAUCUUUGCAUUUUGAAAAUAGUAUAAACUAAGUUAUGAUGUAGUUUCUAUGUAUUUUAGGUGGACAAUAGAUUUAUAUCAACUUUCAAUUAGAAAAACAAAAUGUAUAUAAAAUUUUAAUAUUACCAUUCAUAUCUUAGUUAUAUUUUAUUUUCUCCUGUUUGCAUUAUUAUUUAAUUAUUUAAUUCUGAUUUGACUCACUUUCAUUAUAUAUUAUAACAUUGUAAAUGUGUGUAUGUGUUGAGACAGACUUCAAAGAAACUUUUUUUGCAACAGUUUGCAAGAGGUAUGCCUUUAAAUUUUAUUUUAAUAAUAUGCAACUGUUAGAGGAGUUUGAAUAUCUUAAAUAUUCAUCCAUAGUGAAGUAGGUUCUGCGAUUGUUACUGUGUGCUGCGGUGAUAACGGAAGGUUGAGAACUUGUGUGUUUUAGUGAAGUAGGUUCUGAGAAAUUUGUGUGCUGCGGAGAUAAGAAAGAAAACUUGUGUGUUGUUUGAAUUGAUAUUGACAGAUGGUUGGUUGCUAGUAUGGGGAAAAUGUUGUUCGAUUUUAAGUAGACUUGUCCAUGAUUAUUAUGCAAAAUUGAAUUGUGUUUGAUUGGUUUGAUUAUAACAUAUACUUGUAUGAAUGUACUUAUUGGUGUGAUUCAUUUUUUUACCUUCAUGAUUUUGGUAUAUAUAUAUAUCUAUAUAUAAAUAUAUUUUUGCUGGAUAUUUCUUUCAAGUAUUAUUAUGGUUAAUUAUAUUUAUGGUAUAUUUUUUUUGUCAAUGAUGUUAAAAUAAUAAGUAUGUUUAUUAUGUUGGUGAUUAUAGGACUUAUUGUGCUUUUAUAUUUUUAAAAGUAUACAAAGUGUCAUAAAUGUCCAUAAUAAGUCAUUCUUUUUUCUUUCUUAAAUUCUUAUGAUGAUUAAAUUGGGGAUGUUCUAUUAUUAAAUUGGGAAUUUUGUUAUACUCUAAUUCACAACAUCAUUGGCCUCCCAAUCGUCUCAAAUCUUGUCGGCAUUCUUACAAGAUCAGUUUUUGUUUAAUAAUCUCUAAGAGAGAUUAAUCAACUAAUUUUACAUAUUUAUAUUGUUGGUUCUCUCAUUCAUUCGUUAAUAUAUUAUGGUAAGAUAUAUUAUUUAAUUAUAAUUUGAAGUCUUUAAUUCAUUGGUGCAGGGAAUAUCAUAGGACCGACUUUUAAGGUGGAUGUCUAGAUUUAUUAGGAAGAAUAUUGAGAAAAGAAACAUGAUUGCGUUUGCAGUGAUUUGGAGAAGAAUUAUGUUGUCUUGUUGAGAUUUGUUGUAUUAUAUAUUUUUAAGUUUAUGGAUUUAUAAUAUUAUAACGAGUUUUUAUUGAGAAUUAUUUAAUCUCAUGGGGAUUUGAUGUAUUAUGUAUAUUUCAAUUGUAUGA